rnacentral:precursor_RNA from 1 species
ACCCUGUAGAACCGAGACUUUAUUGGUUACACGUGCAUAUAGAGCUCCUUUCUACAGGUAUC